GGUGCUAUAGUGUAGUGGUCAUCACUCGGGAUUUUGAUUUGAUUGAUUAUUGUAUCUCGUUAGUCAUCAGUGAUUUCCCGAAACCCAGGUUCGAACCCUGGUAGCACCU